AACGAACGCUGGCGGCAUGCCUUACACAUGCAAGUCGAACGGUAACAGGUCUUCGGAUGCUGACGAGUGGCGAACGGGUGAGUAAUACAUCGGAACGUGCCUAGUAGUGGGGGAUAACUACUCGAAAGAGUGGCUAAUACCGCAUGAGAUCUACGGAUGAAAGCAGGGGAUCGCAAGACCUUGUGCUACUAGAGCGGCCGAUGGCAGAUUAGGUAGUUGGUGGGAUAAAAGCUUACCAAGCCGACGAUCUGUAGCUGGUCUGAGAGGACGAUCAGCCACACUGGGACUGAGACACGGCCCAGACUCCUACGGGAGGCAGCAGUGGGGAAUUUUGGACAAUGGGCGCAAGCCUGAUCCAGCAAUGCCGCGUGCAGGAUGAAGGCCUUCGGGUUGUAAACUGCUUUUGUACGGAACGAAAAGCCCUGGGUUAAUACCCUGGGGUCAUGACGGUACCGUAAGAAUAAGCACCGGCUAACUACGUGCCAGCCGCCGCAGUAAAAC
rnacentral:rRNA from 1 species